rnacentral:ncRNA from 1 species
CAACCUCAACUCAUAUGGGACUACCCCCUGAAUUUAAGCAUAUUAAUUAGGGGAGGAAAAGAAACUAACAAGGAUUUUCUUAGUAGCGGCGAGCGAAAAGAAAUCAGUUCAGCACUAAGUCACUUUGUCUAUAUGGCAAAUGUGAGAUGCAGUGUACGGAACAUCAACAUUCUAGUAUGAGAAGUUAACGAUUUAAGUCCUUCUUAAAUGAGGCCAUUUACCCAUAGAGGGUGCCAGGCCCGUAUAACGUUAAUGAUUACUAGAUGGUGUUUCCAAAGAGUCGUGUUGCUUGAUAGUGCAGCACUAAGUGGGUGGUAAACUC